AUUGUUCAGAUAGCCAUGCAUGUCUCAGUAUAAGCUUCUAUACGGCGAAACUGCGAAUGGCUCAUUAAAACAGUUAUAGUUUAUUUGGCGGUCAGCAAUUACAUGGAUAACCGUGGUAAUUCUAGAGCUAAUACAUGCGCCCAAACCCGACUUCGUGGAAGGGUAGUGUUUAUUAGAUACAGAACCAACCCAGGCUCCGCCUGGCCUUGAGGUGAUUCAUAAUAACCGAACGAAUCGCAUGGCUAUGCCGGCGAUAGACCAUUCAAGUUUCUGACCUAUCAGCUAUCGUCGGUAGGGUAUUGGCCUACCGUGGCAAUGACGGGUAACGGAGAAUUAGGGUUCGAUUCCGGAGAGGGAGCCUGAGAAACGGCUACCACAUCUAAGGAAGGCAGCAGGCGCGCAAAUUACCCAAUCCUGACGCAGGGAGGUAGUGACAAGAAAUAACAAUACAGGGCAUACAUGUCUUGUAAUUGGAAUGAGUAAACUUUAAAUCACUUUAC
rnacentral:rRNA from 1 species